UGAGAGGAGAUGAGCGUGGGACGUUAGGUGUUGAUGAGGAAUGCUGUUUCGAACGGGAUAUGUGGAAGAAAUCUGGACGCAUAGGAUAAGGAUGAACUCGGAACAGGGGCGCAGAGGAGAUGAUGUUGUUUUGUUGCUGGGAAGAAAUCGGCUGAUAGCUGGGGGGUUUGGGAAGUUCAUGAGAUUUGACUUUAUCCCAUGGAGAUGGAAGAUUGGAUUCUCUGAUUCGUGGGAUCUUGGGAAGGAUGCGGAGAAGCUCGGCUGGAAGUGAUUCUGAAACAGGGGAAGGCGUGGGUGAAUGAAGAGAAGUUGAGGAGGUUUGGGAACGGCUGUGAAAUGAUCCGGAAGCUGUUGGGGCUUUGAUCCGAACGUUGGGGAGAAUCUCGAAGGCUGGUAGGAGCUACACUUAUUCAUGGCCGAUGAAGGAUUUGCUGUGAAUGAGGGGGUUUGGGACUUAUCCGAAGCAGGGGAAUGUGCCGUGAAGCUCGGGAGGAUAAAGCUGCGGACGUCGAGCAGAGGAGAUGAACUCUGUUUUGAGGCUGGGAUGAGAAUAAGGAAAUAGACUCGGUUGGUUGUGCUGCCGUUGGUUUGGGCUUAUCCGUGGGACGCGGAAGCUGAUCUUGCGAACGGGAAGAAGCUUGAGGUUGGUUGGCAGCGGGAUAAGGAUGGAAUUUGAAUUGAAAAAUAUAAAACCCGUGUCUCUUUGUUAGGGCUGCAUCCAGCCCUAGAGAGGAGCUCAGGCUUCCAUGCAGUGGUAGACGGUAGCAGCAGCACAGCAGCAGGCUCCCAUUUCUAUCACGAUCGGCUUCCUCUGCCUCAGCACUUCAUUUUUUUCUUUCUUGUGAGAAGGCAUUCCCAAAAAGACCCAAACUCUUCCCUCUCCUGUUAUUUCAUCUUCUUCCGUGGGAACUUCACCUGUGAACCCGAGCUUGCCUUCCUCCCGAUUGGAAAAAGGAGGAAUGGGAGCAGUCCCCGGUGGGAAAGAAGGAAUGCUCCUCUCGGUUCACGCUGGGCCUUUUAUAGGCUGCAACUUCCCCUCGUUCUUCUCCUCUGUGGCUGAUCCAAAUGGGAGGAUAAGGUCGUGGAAGUUGAUCUGAUCCGAAGGAGGUUGAGAGGAGAUGAGCGUGGGACGUUAGGUGUUGAUGAGGAAUGCUGUUUCGAACGGGAUGUGCGGAAGAAAUCUGGACGCAUAGGAUAAGGAUGAACUCGGAACAGGGGCGCAGAGGAGAUGAUGUUGUUUGUGCUGGGAAGAAAUCGGCUGAUAGCUGGGAGGUUUGGGAAGUUCAUGAGAUUUGACUUUAUCCCAUGGAGAUGGAAGAUGGGAUUCUCUGAUUCGUGGGAUCUUGGGAAGGAUGCGGAGAAGCUCGGCUGUCGGCAAGUGGUUGGGAUAGAUUUCGGAAGAGAUUAAUCCAAAACAGGGGAAUGGAAGAUGGCUGGAUACUCUGUUCCGAUUUGGUUUUGGUUGGGAAGAAAUGAAGAUCUUGGAUGACCGAAGCAUGGAGGAAGUGGACGAGAUAGGCUUAGAUGCUGGAUGCGAAGAUCAUGGGAUAUGGCCUGAUCUGUUCAAUGCGAAGGAGAAGCUUGGACGAUGGCUGGAAAUGGAUGCGGAGGAGAUGAGGAUUUGAGUUUAUCAGGCUCUGUUUGAACUGCUCACGGGAUGGGGAGAUGAGCUGGGAUUUAUUCCGAAGAAGGGAUAAGGAUGCUGGGAGAUUGAGCUAGAAGAAAAGGAUGGCUUGGUUCUGUUCUUUGAACAUGGGAGGGAGAGUGACAUGGAAGCUUAAUUUCUAAGCACUAAAAGGGUGACGUGGACAUGGGUUCAGCUACAAAUGCGACCUGCACAAAUUAGUUCAGACAUCAUCCCAAUUAGUUCGACUCGAUCUGCACAUAUUAGAAUUGACCAAUAAAAUCAAGCAAACUCGAAUUAUUUUUAAUAAUGCCAUGACGAAGGGGAACACAUUUUCUUAUGUUAAAUUCACUAUAUAUAUGAAUUAAAAUAAUGAUAAGUGCUAUGAAUAAGAUAUUAAUUUAUGCAUUAUUUAGUACUUAUCACAGCCCCCCAACCUACAUUUUGCUAGUCCUCAAGCAAAAUAAAAGCUAACUCACUUUCGCAGGAAUCACGAUUGCUUUUACCGUAUGCAAUAAGGCUUUAAACCCCUAGGUGGCCCUAGUGGACGAGUUUUAUCUCGUGAGGGUUUCCGGCUCAGAUACCCAC
rnacentral:lncRNA from 1 species